rnacentral:tRNA from 1 species
GCUCACAUAGCUCAGUUGGUUAGAGCGUUGCGUUCACAUCGCAGAGGUCCCUGGUUCAAGUCCAGGUGUGAGCA